rnacentral:rRNA from 1 species
UACGAGGGGGGCAAGCGUUGUUCGGAAUUAUUGGGCGUAAAGGGUGCGUAGGCGGUUUUGUAAGUCUUGUGUGAAAUCUUCAGGCUCAACUUGAAGACUGCACGAGAAACUGCAGGGCUUGAGUGUGGGAGAGGUGAGUGGAAUUCCUGGUGUAGCGGUGAGAUGCGUAGAUAUCAGGAGGAACACCUGUGGCGAAAGCGGCUCACUGGACCACAACUGACGCUGAUGCACGAAAGCUAGGGGAGCAAACAGG